UCCAUCGUGGUGUAGUGGCUAGCAUUUGAGACUUUCAUUUCAUGAUUAACUGUGAACUCUCAGAACCCGGCUUCAAUUCCCGGCGACGGAA